rnacentral:rRNA from 1 species
GACGAACGCUGGCGGCGUGCUUAACACAUGCAAGUCGAACGAGAAUCAAUGGAAAGAGACUUCGGUCAAUGGAAGUUGAGGACAGUGGCGGACGGGUGAGUAACGCGUGAGGAACCUGCCUUUCAGAGGGGGACAACAGUUGGAAACGACUGCUAAUACCGCAUAACGCAUGGGUGUCGCAUGGCACUUAUGCCAAAGAUUUAUCGCUGAAAGAUGGCCUCGCGUCUGAUUAGCUAGUUGGUGAGGUAACGGCUCACCAAGGCGACGAUCAGUAGCCGGACUGAGAGGUUGGCCGGCCACAUUGGGACUGAGAUACGGCCCAGACUCCUACGGGAGGCAGCAGUGGGGAAUAUUGGGCAAUGGGCGCAAGCCUGACCCAGCAACGCCGCGUGAAGGAAGAAGGCUUUCGGGUUGUAAACUUCUUUUGUCAGGGAAGAGUAGAAGGCGAUACCUGACGAAUAAGCCACGGCUAACUACGUGCCAGCCGCCGCCGUAA